rnacentral:lncRNA from 1 species
GUAAUUUUAUGCCAGAUUAUUGGUGGGGAGGUGACCUAAUUAGUACCUUUGGUUGACUAGUAUGUGAUUUUCUUUUUGCAGGUUUUCUUGUUUUUCCGUUUGGUUUCAGGGCUCAGAGGUAUAUUUGUUUCUUUUCUGGGUUGUUAUUUUCUUUACUGUCAGUGACAUAUUAAGAGUGCUUUCAUAGAUGAGUUGUACUAGCACUUUGCUGGGUUGUGAUUUUCUUUAUUGUCAGUGACAUAUUAAGAGUGCGUUCAUAGAUGAGUUGUACUAAACACUUGAAUGAUCACAUAUUAAGUUUGCUUUGAGCUUGUCAACUUCGUUAUCAGUUUUUGAAUAUCUUCUUUUUGUGCUUGUCAAUUUCAUGGCUCACCAUAUGCAUGAUGGACAAGUUAAUUGACCUCAGGCACUAUUUUUUCAGUAGCUGUUGAUUAUUUGUAAAUCUAGACUAGAAUCUGUUGCAUGCAUGAAUCUUCGACUUCUAAUUUUUUGACCUAUUGUAUAAAUAAGUUAUCUGCUUCAUGAGUCAUAAGAGAAUUCAUUGUUCAGAAAAUUUUAACUUGUAGUUGGCCUUCAUGAGGAGAUUUUCUUCACUCUGUUCAACAACAACUAACACCUGAGUUUCGAGAAGUUUGAACUACCUCAGUGGGGAAUUUGAUAUAUGUAAAAGAUCUUAGCAUUCUGCGUCAGCAUAGUUUCUCUGAGCUAAUUGUAAACAAGGCAGGGGGUGAAAGUGGACCGCUUUUUCAUUUUUAUGUACAUGAGGAUGUGCGGACAAUUGCCGAUGCUACAAUAGAGAAGGAUGAGGUUAUCAAUAAGAGUGGAGCUACUCCAGCAAUAGUGUGUGAUAGUUGUAAAUGAGAAGCUUUGUGAUUGUCUCCCAAUUUGUUGACAUAGAUGAGAUGUCUUGAGUGAGAUAAUGUAAACUUGAGUUACUAAUCUUUAUGGAAUUUUCAAUAUGUAAUUACUACUUUGAUUUAUAAUAAAAGUGAUU